rnacentral:lncRNA from 1 species
AUGGAGACUAAGGACCAGAAGAAACACAGAAAGAAAAACAGUGGACCCAAAGCUGCAAAGAAAAAGAAGUGGCAUCUGCAGGAUCUCCAGCUAGGAGACGAAGAAAAUGCCCAGAAGAGAAAUGCCAAUGCUUUUGCAGUUCAGUCUGCUGUGUGGAUGUCUCGAUCCUUUCACAGGACUCUGGAUUUGAAGACACAAAAGCAUCAUAUUCCAGUGGUUGAUGGAACUCCACUAGAGCUGCCACCAAUACCGGUAGUGGUGACGGGGCCUCCAAAGUUGGAAAGAGCACUUUGAUAUAAUGCCUCAUUCGGAACUUCACCUGGCAGAAGUUCACCGAGAUCAGAGGCCCUGUGACGAUCGUGUCAGGUAAAAAGCGCAGACUCACCAUUAUUGAAUGUGGGUGUGACAUUAACAUGAUGAUUGAUCUGGCUGAAGUAGCAGAUCUGGUACUGAUGCUUAUAGAUGCCAGCUUUGGGUUUGAAAUGGAAAUGUUUGAGUUUCUAAACAUCUGUCAAGCACAUGGCUUUCCUAAAAUUCUGGGAGUUCUCACCCACCUCGACUCCUUCAAGCAUAACAAGCAACUGAAGAAGACAAAGAAGCGAUUAAAACACAGGUUCUGGACAGAAGUUUACCAGGUUGCCAAACUGUUCUACCUUUCUGGAAUGGUGCAUGGAGAAUAUCAAAACCAAGAAAUCCACAAUCUGGGCCAUUUUAUUACAGUUAUGAAGUUUAGGCCUCUCAUGGCAAACUUUUCACCCUUAUAUCCUGGCAGACAGGAUGGAAGAUUUGACAAACCCGGAGGAUAUCCAAACAAACAUCAAAUGUGACCGGCAGGUGUCACUUUAUGGUUAUUUAAGAGGAGCACACUUCAAAGAUAAAAGCCAAAUUCACAUGCCAGGGGUAGAACAUUUUGCCAUGAGUGACAUCGGUUUCCUCCCAGACCCUUGUGUUCUUCCUGAAUAACAAAAGAAGUGCUGUUUAAAUAAGAAGGAGCAGCUGGUUUAUGUGCCUGUUUCUGGAGUUGAGGGUGUGCUGUAUGACAAAGACGCUGUCUGUGUUGACCUUGGUGGCAGCCACGGUUUUCAGGACAAGGUGGGGCUCACCCAUGAGCUGGUCCAGAGUCUCAUCUCCACCUACUCCACCAUUGAUGCCAAGAUGGCUUCAAGUCGAGUGACGCUGCUUUCCAAUUCCAAACCACUUGGGUCAGAGGCUAUAGAUAAUCAAGGGCUGUUGAUGCCAAAGGAGGAAAAACAAAUAGACUUGAAAACUGGUCGAAUGCGUCAGAAAGCCAUUUUUGGAGAUGAUUCUGUGCGAACGUCUUCUCUCCUUUCUU